AGUGAACGCUGGCGGUAGGCCUAACACAUGCAAGUCGAACGGCAGCACAGUAAGAGCUUGCUCUUACGGGUGGCGAGUGGCGGACGUGUGAGGAAUACAUCGGAAUCUACUUUUUCGUGGGGGAUAACGUAGGGAAACUUACGCUAAUACCGCAUACGACCUACGGGGGAAAGCAGGGGAUCUUCGGACCUUGCGCGAAUGGAUGCGCCGAUGUCGGAUUAGCUAGUUGGCGGGGUAAAGGCCCACCAAGGCGACGAUCCGUAGCUGGUCUGAGAGGAUGAUCAGCCACACUGGAACUGAGACACGGUCCAGACUCCUACGGGAGGCAGCAGUGGGGAAUAUUGGACAAUGGGCGCAAGCCUGAUCCAGCCAUACCGCGUGGGUGACGAAGGCCUUCGGGUUGUAAAGCCCUUUUGUUGGGAAAGAAAAGCAGCAGGUUAAUACCCCGCUGUUCUGACGGUACCCAAAGAAUAAGCACCGGCUAACUUCGUG
rnacentral:rRNA from 1 species